UACAGAGGGGGCAAGCGUUGUUCGGAAUUACUGGGCGUAAAGGGCACGUAGGCGGCCCGCUAAGUCGAACGUGAAAUCCCUGGGCUCAACCCAGGAACUGCGUCCGAUACUGGCGGGCUUGAAUCCGGGAGAGGGAUGUGGAAUUCCAGGUGUAGCGGUGAAAUGCGUAGAUAUCUGGAGGAACACCGGUGGCGAAGGCGGCAUCCUGGACCGGUAUUGACGCUGAUGCGCGAAAGCUAGGGGAGCAAGCGGG
rnacentral:rRNA from 1 species